GUCCACGCCGUAAAACGAUGGAUACUAGCUGUUUGGUCGUAAGACUGAGUGGCUAAGCGAAAGUGAUAAGUAUCCCACCUGGGGGAGUACGAACGCAAGUUUGAAACUCAAAGGAAUUGACGGGGGCCCGCACAAGCGGUGGAGCAUGUGGUUUUAAUUCGAUGAUACGCGAGGAACCUUACCAGGGCUUAAAUGUGUUUUGACGGAUUUGGAAACAGAUCUUUCGCAAGACAAAAUACAAGGUGCUGCAUGGUUGUCGU
rnacentral:rRNA from 1 species